GACACAUUUCUGAUUCAUAUACUACUUUUUAUGUGUGAAUAAAUGAGUGACUAGAUGAUGUAAAAAUGAACAGUGGAUGAGCAAGAAGAAAGUUUGACUAAAUCUGUCCAAUCCAGUGAUGGCAGAGGCUGGGAAGAGUCUCCUUCCCAGGUGAGCUCUUUGCCUCAGUGCCACAGAGCCAAGAAGCCAUCUGUGAGCUGCAGUCAGAACGCUGGGAGAGGCAUGCCAGAGUUUCUGGGAGAAUGUCCACAGCCAUGUGAAGAUCUCUGCAUCUCUCUCUCACCGCCCAACAAAACAGUUUGGCCACUCAGGCUAAUAAGAUAACGUCUGAAGUUCCACAAUGGAGGCCUCAUCUCUUAGCCAGAAGCUGGAAUGACUGACAUCUGGUGCUGGGCCCUGUGACUGACAGGGCAUCUAGUGCUGGGUCCUGUGAUUGACAGGGCAUCCAGUGCUGGACACUGUGGCAAAGGGACAGGUUCCCUCAGGCCACUGGAGCCCACCUCAAGAGUCUCUUUGCCAGGGAAAUUCUCCAAUGAAGGUUUCUGUUUGUCCUUGAUGUAAGCUCACCGAUGGAUCUGGAGAGAAAUCUUCAUCCCUCUCUCCAGAAAUCAUCCCACCACUGAUGUCCUCAAGAAGCCCAGAUUCUGUAGAUGGGAGCAUUUGGAAGACUACAACCCCUCCUGGGCCAUCUGAAGAUUGCAUGGUUCUUCUGUGACUGUUGCUAAGAUCAUUUCCUAUGUGUAAGGAUAUUUCCACUGAGCAACAGAGACACCAACCUACCCACAACACUUUCAACUCAAAAUUUAUCCUGUCUACAAGAAAUACAGGCACCAGACGAUGGAGCAGAGACUGAGGGGAUGGCCAAUGAAUAACCAGCUCAACCUGAGACCUAUUCUAUGGGCAAGCAACCCCUAACACUAUUAAUGAUACUCUGUUACAUUUGUUGACAGAAGCACUUUGUACUUUCAGAGGCUCUACCCAGCACCUGACUCAGAA
rnacentral:lncRNA from 1 species